GUGACACAUCGAGCCAUGUCCCACUAGGAUAGAUCUGAAAAUUCUCCCUAAUAUUUCAAAAUAUUGGGUCUCCUCUUGUCAAUGAAGAAGACUCUGUCUCUUCUUUUCAAAAUUGGCUCCUCUCUCGCCUUCGCUCCCAAUCCACUGCAUUCUCUGGCGCAUUGCUGCUACAUUAUAAAUAGAUAGAUUCACUCAACUAUUGAAGUGUGUUGAGCCACAUCAAAUUCUGGUGACACUAAGCACAAAGCUUCUGAGUUCAACUAAAAGAGAAUGCAACAAUCAAUUGUCUUUUUGACCAUUCUAGUAUGUGUCACUUUCUAUCUCACCUUAACAAUUUCUGAACUUCUAAGUUGUAUCUGCCUUUUUCGUCUAAACUUAUUUUGAGAGAAUUUUUUGUAUGAAGCAUUAAAUCUUUUACUAAUAUCUUGUAGACAAAGUUAUAGAGGUGCUGAAGCUUGACCAGGAAAUGGAAGAUCUUGCUAAGCUACUGAUUGCAGAGCAGUCAUUUCUCAUGUUUGGCUGAGGAUACAACUAUGCUGCAGCUUUGGGAGGUUCUUUAAUAAUAAAGGAAGUGGUAUUAAUGCACAGUGAAGGAAUACUUGCUGGUGAGAUGAAACAUGGUCCUCUGGUGCUAGUGGAUGACAGUCUGCCUGUUGUAGUGAUUACUAUUCUUGAUGCUUGCUUCGGGUUAGCUUUUGCAGUAUAGGUUAACUUGCAUCCCAGUAUUCCCUAUCUGGUCUAAAACUGAAGGUGUCAAUGUUAACAACAAGCAACAAUUUGUUAUUCAGCAACUCUGUGCCGGUAAAUGACGCCUGAUUGUCAUGGGCUUGAGGGGGGAUGCUGUAGCUGUAUCUUUCGGUGGAGCGUGUAGGGUCAUUGAAUUUCCUCAGGUGGAGGACAGUCUUGAGCCUGUAGUCAACAUAGUUCCUUUGCAGGGUGUGGGGGUUGCAGGCACCCUGUGGGACAUUUGCAGCUCUGUCAACACAGACCAAUUGCCACUUCUGGCACAAAGCACAUAUCCAUGACUGUACAAGGCAAAAGUGGCAGUGCUCUUCCACCAUGUAGCCGGCGAGAACGGGACACUCAGACAGACAUAAUUACAAUCUUGUUUUGAACCCACACGUAAAGUUUUCAAGCAAGACCAUGCAAGAGGACAAUGGAAAGCAAUACCGAAAACAAAAAAUAGGGGAAAGGGUGAAAGGGGCCUUGGAACAACAAUGUUGCAAGGGAAGCCACCAAGAGCAAAGCAGCGAGCAUCAUGAGGAUGUGAAAUGCUCGGGCACAACAAGCGGGAGCGAAUGAUAGAUGAGCAACAAGUGCCAAGGAGCUAUAGAACAGAAGACAGAAGAUGGCAACAGAGGUGGUAAAAGAGUGGGUGUCAAAAGGGGACUCUGGUUUCCCUUGAUAUUUCACCUCAAUGAAGUUGAGCAGCACGGGAACAAUAAAGGUGAGAACCGCGUGGUGGGAAGUGGAGGCAGGGAAACCUCGGACAUUUCUGUGGGGACUACUGCCGAGCGGCAUUGGAAACUGGAAUAAGUUUCCAGAUUAUCCUUUAGCCUAUGUACAAGAUGAUUAUCAAAGUAAUCAGAUAGAAAGAUGGGCGACUAGAACAGGGAAAAUACUAAUGCAUUAGAGUGGUAGCAAAUCAUGCUUUUUAUAAUGGAGUGGUUGAACACUGCA